GAUGAACGCUGGCGGCGUGCCUAAUACAUGCAAGUCGAGCGAACAGAUGAGGAGCUUGCUCCUCUGACGUUAGCGGCGGACGGGUGAGUAACACGUGGAUAACCUACCUAUAAGACUGGGAUAACUACGGGAAACCGGAGCUAAUACCGGAUAAUAUAUUGAACCGCAUGGUUCAAUAGUGAAAGACGGUUUUGCUGUCACUUAUAGAUGGAUCCGCGCCGCAUUAGCUAGUUGGUAAGGUAACGGCUUACCAAGGCAACGAUGCGUAGCCGACCUGAGAGGGUGAUCGGCCACACUGGAACUGAGACACGGUCCAGACUCCUACGGGAGGCAGCAGUAGGGAAUCUUUCGCAAUGGGCGAAGGCCUGACGGAGCAACGCCGCGUGAGUGAUGAAGGUCUUCGGAUCGUAAAACUCUGUUAUUAGGGAAGAACAAAUGUGUAAGUAACUAUGCACGUCUUGACGGUACCUAAUCAGAAAGCCACGGCUAACUACGUG
rnacentral:rRNA from 1 species